UAGAAUUGUCGCGGUUGAGAAACGAACCCUCGAUGGCUGGAGCGGCCGACGCUGACUGCUACAUCAGGGCGAUUGUACACCUCCAAAUCAGGAGGACGAACACGAGCACGUAGAUGUUUCCGCCCGAUGCAACGAGUCCUUCUGCUUCCCAAUCGGGGGCGGGCAAAAAUAGCAUUGCGGUGGCCGUUUCAUGAUCCGCGAUCUGCAAGCUUGUCUCUCUUUGUCCGUCGUUAAUUCUUCGAUGCCUUCGUCAGCGACAGGGAGAAAUCGUAGGUGAUGAUUCUUUUAUUUGGUCCUGGGAGCUCGAACUCCCCCUGCAGAGAAAAUGGUGCCGGGGAACACAAGCAGAACCCUCAGCUCAUACAGGUAGCAGUUCUCUACGAACUGAUACGAGCUAGCCUCGUAGGUGAUCUUCUACCAUAAAUUUGAAGGAGUCAAAUUUUCUACCAUAAAUUUGUACAAUCUACAUACAGAAGAAGUAUAUAUUUCUAGCAGUAUUUUCGUCAGGGAGAUAAUGCUUAUUCAAUGCAUAAGAAGGAGAAAAGAUAAACUAGGAUAACAUGAUGGAAGUUCUGUGGUGAAUAUGGAGAAAAAUGGGGAAAAAAAAAAACUAGUCAUUAUCAUCUUUGCAGGAUUUGUACUUGACAGAAGCAUGACAUGCCUCAUUUCCAUCCCGGUGCUUCCUACCAUAUGCCACUUCAACAUCUUCCUUGGUGCAUUGGAGAAAAAUGAUCACCUGCUAAUCUUCAGUCUCCCUUUCUGCAUUGUCAGGAAAGAUGACACCAGAUGAAGCAGAUACAGUUGUGAUUGGUGUCAGUUGCCCAGAAAAUCUACCCACCAUUGGCAGAUCACAAUCCUUAUCGACACAUUUGCCUUCCGUCUACCUCAGUGAUCUCAAGCAUUACUUCACAUCCUUGUCUGCCUUCAUAACAAAGUGAAUGUGAGCAUUCACUUCUUUUACAACUGCAGAAUCAUCUCAUCUUGGAUGUGCUUUUUGACUAUGGCCAAGCUGUCAUUCAAUUUACCACAUAAAUGCAGCAUCUAUUCAUCUUCCAGACAUUUCUUUUGAAGGGUAAAGUGAAGGCUUGGUUGCAUGGCGACAGAAGAAGCUCCUCAUUGAUUCAUCUGCAGCUGCAAUCUCUCUCAUCUUGUUGAACACAUGGUAUGCAAUUUCAAAUGGUACCGCCCGGUAUGGGCGGUACGUACCGGUCCGAUGACAUACCGGUACGCGGACCGCCCGCUACCGGACGGACCAUGCUACUAAUCUACCAGCCAUUACCACUGCAUGUAAAAGUGAAGGCUUGGUUGCAUGGCGACUGAACAAGCCCCUCAUUGAUUCUUGUGCAGCUGCAAUCUCUCUCAACCACUUGAAUAUAUUGAAACGCAUAUCAGCAUAACAACUGAAGAAGAGGAAAGGAAAUGUGUGUGGGGUUUCAUUCUUUUGCUCCCCUGCUUAUAAGCCAACAAGAUCGGCAUCUUUAGGUUGGUCAGAUGGGAAACGACAAGAAUAGCAGUAUUUAUUUUCUUUACUCUCCCACUCUUUCGUGAGUUGCUAGGUGCUGCUAUCCUAUGUGAUGUCAAGGUGGUUCUUGGCUUGCAAUGUAAUUCUUUUACUGACAUCUUCCAAACAGGUGCAGUAUGGCUGCUUGUCUGCCCAACAAUCUACCACUCUCUAUGGUGGUUUGCUGGAUCUGCACAUAUAUGUUUUAGGUGAAGUAGGAGUGUGCACAUGUUGAUAAUGGCCCUUGAGUACAUAUGGUCAGCAACGCACAUCUUGGAGUGAUCUCAAUGGCAAGAUGUUCUGCAGAACAGAAAGAUUCCAAAGUAUUAUAUAGUUGGGGUUCCUUCAAGAAACACAAAGAAGUUGUGUAUAUGGUAAAGCUGUGGCCA